rnacentral:rRNA from 1 species
GAUGAACGCUAGCGGCAGGCUUAAUACGUGCAAGUCGAGGGGCAGCAUGGCCGUAGCAAUACAGCUGGUGGCGACCGGCAAACGGGUGCGGAGCACGUACGCAACUUACCCAUAACUGAUGAAUAGCCCUCCGAAAGGAGGAUUAAUACAUCGUAAUUCUUAUUUGUUGCAUCACCGCAAAGGUAUUGCUCCGGAGGUUGGUGCGGGGCAUGCGUUGUAUUAGUUUGUGGGUGGGGUAACGGCUCACCAAGGCUACGAGACAUAGGGGGACUGAGAGGUUAAUCCCCCACACUGGUACUUAGACACGGACCAGACGCCUACGGGAGGCAGCAGUGAGGAAUAUUGGUCAAUGGGGGCAACCCUGAACCAGCCAUGCCGCGUGCAGGAUGACGGCUCUAUGAGUUGUAAACUGCUUUUAUACGAGGGUAAACCCAGAUACGUGUAUCUGGCUGAAAGUAUCGUACGAAUAAGGAUCGGCUAACUCCGUGCCAGCCGCCGCGGUAAAAC